rnacentral:rRNA from 1 species
UACGUAGGUGGCAAGCGUUGUCCGGAUUUAUUGGGCGUAAGGCGAGCGCAGGCGGUUCCUUAAGUCUGAUGUGAAAGCCCCCGGCUCAACCGGGGAAGGGCAUUGGAGACUGGGGAACUUGAGUGCAGAAGAGGAGAGUGGAAUUCCAUGUGUAGCGGUGAAAUGCGUAGAUAUAUGGAGGAACACCAGUGGCGAAGGCGACUCUCUGGUCUGUAACUGACGCUGAGGCACGAAAGUGUGGGGAGCAAACAGG